rnacentral:rRNA from 1 species
AGGACGAACGCUGGCGGCGUGCCUAAUACAUGCAAGUCGAACGCUUUUUCUUUCACCGGAGCUUGCUCCACCGAAAGAAAAAGAGUGGCGAACGGGUGAGUAACACGUGGGUAACCUGCCCAUCAGAAGGGGAUAACACUUGGAAACAGGUGCUAAUACCGUAUAACACUAUUUUCCGCAUGGAAGAAAGUUGAAAGGCGCUUUUGCGUCACUGAUGGAUGGACCCGCGGUGCAUUAGCUAGUUGGUGAGGUAACGGCUCACCAAGGCAACGAUGCAUAGCCGACCUGAGAGGGUGAUCGGCCACACUGGGACUGAGACACGGCCCAGACUCCUACGGGAGGCAGCAGUAGGGAAUCUUCGGCAAUGGACGAAAGUCUGACCGAGCAACGCCGCGUGAGUGAAGAAGGUUUUCGGAUCGUAAAACUCUGUUGUUAGAGAAGAACAAGGAUGAGAGUAAAACGUUCAUCCCUUGACGGUAUCUAACCAGAAAGCCACGGCUAACUACGUGCCAGCAGCCGCGGUAAUACGUAGGUGGCAAGCGUUGUCCGGAUUUAUUGGGCGUAAAGCGAGCGCAGGCGGUUUCUUAAGUCUGAUGUGAAAGCCCCCGGCUCAACCGGGGAGGGUCAUUGGAAACUGGGAGACUUGAGUGCAGAAGAGGAGAGUGGAAUUCCAUGUGUAGCGGUGAAAUGCGUAGAUAUAUGGAGGAACACCAGUGGCGAAGGCGGCUCUCUGGUCUGUAACUGACGCUGAGGCUCGAAAGCGUGGGGAGCGAACAGGAUUAGAUACCCUGGUAGUCCACGCCGUAAACGAUGAGUGCUAAGUGUUGGAGGGUUUCCGCCCUUCAGUGCUGCAGC